GGCUGCACCCGUUCCCAUUCCGAACACGGCCGUGAAACGCCCCAGCGCCGAUGGUACUUCGUCUUAAGACGCGGGAGAGUAGGUCGCUGCCAGGU
rnacentral:rRNA from 1 species